rnacentral:lncRNA from 1 species
UGGUGGCGACUCCAACCGCUACUAUUCUGCAGAAGAGAAAGAAAGCGGGCGACGACAUUGUUGUUGUCACAUCGACAAUGUUGGCCUGAAAUUGCGAGGAAAAGAAGGAAAGGUGCAUCGAGAUUUGUGAAGAGAAAGAGAGAUGGCGUUGCCGAUGUGAGUCGCCAGUCGAGAGGUAGACGAUAGGGAAUGACAUGACAUAUGGGGGUUGAAGGCUGCGACCUGUGAUUGUUGUUGUUCGCCUGAAUUUCUUCACCUCUUUUUUAAUUUUUUUUUACAUAUUUUUUUAUUUUUUAUUUUUUAUUUUUUGGUUGAAAAUUCAUUUUUUUGUAGGCAAUAUUAACACGAGAUCAUGGUUCGGUUUUAUAAAAUGUAUUGUUCUGUUUUGCAAUGUGCAUGCAUGGUUUACUGAUACAAUAUGCAUGUUAGUUUUCGUCACCCCACCCCCCACCCCCACCAAUUUUUUAAUUUUUUUUUGUAGGUUCUUUUUUAGUUUUUUCUUAAUUUUUUUUAUUUAUCAAAAAUUCAUUUUGUUGUAGGAUUCAUUGAUACGAGAUGUAUGGUUUAGUUUUAUAAUAUGCAUUGUUCUUAUUUACAAUAUGCAUGAUUUAUUUUUGGGUUAAGUAUCAAUUUAGCCCCUAACGUAGAGGCCCCUGUAGCCAAUACAACCCUAUGCGCAGGGGUGUCUCAACUAAACCCCUAAGGUCCAUGUUUUGCGUCAAGUAAACCCCUCCGUCUAACGGAGAGUUAACUCCGUCCGAAUUUUAAUUUUUUUUUAUUUUUUUUAUUUUGUGGGGCCCACCAUUAAGGGCAAAACAUGUUCUCCCUCUCGGUCUCCCUCCUGCUGCCG